rnacentral:rRNA from 1 species
AUGAAUAUCUUGAGUUGGAACUGCCGGGGAGGGGGGAAUCCCCGGACAGUUCGUGAAUUGGCGACUAUAGCUCAGUCGCAUUACCCCAAUUUGGUUUUUUUGUGUGAAACUCGACAGAAAGCUGAUAAGAUGAGAAGGAUUCGAGGACGACUAGGACUAAAGGGGUUCACAGGCGUGGACUGCAAUGGGAUGAGCGAAGGCCUUGCCUUGUUUUGGAACGAGUCGUAUGUGGUGGAAAUAUUGGACAAGGAGGAGAGAUUUAUUGAUGCCCUAGUGCGGGUACAGGAGGGUGCAGCUCAAUGGAGAUUGACGUGCGUGUAUGGUGAACCACGCGUGGAGAACCGACAUAUCAUGUGGGAGAAGCUGCAGCGAUUGCAAAACGUUAAUGACCUACCCUGGCUUGUGGUGGGCGAUUUUAAUGAAGCUAUGUGGAAUUAUGAACACUUCUCAGUGACACCGAGGGCAAAACCUCAAAUGGUUGCCUUCCGGGAUGCGUUGGAAAUUUGUGGCCUAGUGGAUUUGGGCUUUGUGGGUCUAUCGUUUACUUACGACAAUAAAAGAGCAGGUGCAGCAAAUGUGCAAGUUAGGCUGGACAGAGCGGUAGCCACAAACACAUGGAGGAACUUAUUUGCGUUUUCUUCAGUAACACAUGUUCCGUCUCCUUGCUCUGAUCAUGUUGCUUUAGUUAUUAAAGGGGCGGCUGACCUAGGCUCGGCCAGAACUAAAUAG